GCAAUGUCUGAAGGCACUUCUUUACUAACAUGCUUGAGAUGUAUCUGAGUAGUGAGGCCCCCUGCAUUCACAGCCCCUAGAAAUCAUUGUCUGCAUCGCUGAGUCUUGGCAGCAUAUUGGGCUUGCUGGUGGUAU
rnacentral:lncRNA from 1 species